rnacentral:rRNA from 1 species
CCUACGGGGGGCAGCAGUGGGGAAUAUUGCACAAUGGGGGAAACCCUGAUGCAGCGACGCCGCGUGAGUGAAGAAGUAUUUCGGUACGUAAAGCUCUAUCAGCAGGGAAGAAAAUGACGGUAACUGACUAAGAAGCCCCGGCUAACUACGUGCCAGCAGCCGCGGUAAUACGUAGGGGGCAAGCGUUAUCCGGAUUUACUGGGUGUAAAGGGAGCGUAGACGGCAGCGCAAGUCUGGAGUGAAAUCCCAUGGCUUAACCAUGGGACUGCUUUGGAAACUGUGCAGCUAGAGUGCAGGAGAGGUAAGCGGAAUUCCUAGUGUAGCGGUGAAAUGCGUAGAUAUUAGGAGGAACACCAGUGGCGAAGGCGGCUUACUGGACUGUAACUGACGUUGAGGCUCGAAAGCGUGGGGAGCAAACAGGAUUAGAUACCCUGGUAGUC